GACGUAGGGCGCGAGCGUUGUCCGGAUUUAUUGGGCGUAAAGAGCUCGUAGGCGGCUUGUUGCGUCGACCGUGAAAACCCGCGGCUUAACUGUGGGCUUGCGGUCGAUACGGGCGGGCUGGAGUUCGGUAGGGGAGACUGGAAUUCCUGGUGUAGCGGUGAAAUGCGCAGAUAUCAGGAGGAACACCUAUGGCGAAGGCAGCUCGCUGGGACGGUAUUGACGCUGAGACGCGAAAGCGUGGGGAGCGAACAGG
rnacentral:rRNA from 1 species